UACGGAGGGUGCAAGCGUUGUUCGGAAUUACUGGGCGUAAAGCGCGUGUAGGCGGUUGCCUAAGUCUGAUGUGAAAGCCCGGGGCUCACCUCCGGAAGUGCAUUGGAAACUGGGCGACUAGAGUGUCGGAGAGGAGGGUGGAAUUCCUGGUGUAGCGGUGAAAUGCGUAGAUAUCAGGAGGAACACCGGUGGCGAAGGCGGCCCUCUGGACGAAUACUGACGCUGAGACGCGAAAGCGUGGGGAGCAAACAGGAUUAGAUACCCUGGUAGUCCACGCUGUAAACGAUGGGCACUAGGUGUUCGGGGUAUUGACCCCCCGAGUGCCGCAGCUAACGCAUUAAGUGCCCCGCCUGGGGACUACGGCCGCAAGGUUAAA
rnacentral:rRNA from 1 species